rnacentral:misc_RNA from 1 species
AAUGAUAAACAGCAACAGGAGAUACAGGAAAAGAGUUGUUUUGUGUACUUGGGACAUCAAGAAUUCCAUUUUGCCAGUGACCAGAUUGAGUCUCUUCAUUUCUGAAUGUGUACAUUCCAAGGCCCUGCCUUCUACCUUCGUGCCAGGCUCCCUCAUACCGAUGUCCAUUUGCAAAACGAUAGGCGCCAAAGCCAUGCAUCUUGUCUGCAAAAUAUUCUCCAGCAUAUGUGUCGCCAUUUCUGAAAUGGUAGUGGCCAAGCCCAUGCUUGACACCCCACUUGAAUUCCCCAACAUACCGACUCCCGUCUUCACAAGUAUGGACUCCGCAUCCAUGACUCUGGCCAUUAGACCAUUCCCCUGCAUAAACAUCCCCUGUGUAAAAUCUAUACACCCCAAAACCAUGCCUAAGUCCCUGCCUAUACAGCCCUCUAUACCGGCUCCCUCUAGCCCAAGUCUCCACUCCAUAACCAUCAUAUUUUCCAUCAACCCAAUCCCCCUCGUAUCUCCCACUCAUGUAAUAAUAGUACACCCCGCUCCCGGAACACUUACCCUUAUGAAACUCGCCCUCGUAUACGUCUCCGUUGCUAUAAACCUGGACCCAACACCCCGAAUUCACUCUUUUCUCCGAAUUAGGCCUCGACCCAAUUGACCAAAACACAGGUAAAGGCGGUCUAGAUAUGUUAGAAGCGGAUUUGAGCUUGAUUGGGAAGGAACGCGCCAAAAACAAUCGAAUUGAAGGGAGGCGAGGGAGAGCGAGAUUUAGAGAGAAUAAUAAAGCAGCGGAGAAAGCGA